rnacentral:rRNA from 1 species
UAAUACAUGCAGUCGAACGAACUUCCGUUAAUUGAUUAUGACGUACUUGUACUGAUUGAGAUUUUAACACGAAGUGAGUGGCGAACGGGUGAGUAACACGUGGGUAACCUGCCCAGAAGUAGGGGAUAACACCUGGAAACAGAUGCUAAUACCGUAUAACAGAGAAAACCGCAUGGUUUUCUUUUAAAAGAUGGCUCUGCUAUCACUUCUGGAUGGACCCGCGGCGUAUUAGCUAGUUGGUGAGGUAAAGGCUCACCAAGGCAGUGAUACGUAGCCGACCUGAGAGGGUAAUCGGCCACAUUGGGACUGAGACACGGCCCAGACUCCUACGGGAGGCAGCAGUAGGGAAUCUUCCACAAUGGACGCAAGUCUGAUGGAGCAACGCCGCGUGAGUGAAGAAGGGUUUCGGCUCGUAAAGCUCUGUUGUUAAAGAAGAACGUGGGUAAGAGUAACUGUUUACCCAGUGACGGUAUUUAACCAGAAAGCCACGGCUAACUACGUGCCAGCAGCCGCGGUAAUACGUAGGUGGCAAGCGUUAUCCGGAUUUAUUGGGCGUAAAGCGAGCGCAGGCGGUCUUUUAAGUCUAAUGUGAAAGCCUUCGGCUCAACCGAAGAAGUGCAUUGGAAACUGGGAGACUUGAGUGCAGAAGAGGACAGUGGAACUCCAUGUGUAGCGGUGAAAUGCGUAGAUAUAUGGAAGAACACCAGUGGCGAAGGCGGCUGUCUGGUCUGCAACUGACGCUGAGGCUCGAAAGCAUGGGUAGCGAACAGGAUUAGAUACCCUGGUAGUCCAUGCCGUAACGAUGAUUACUAAGUGUUGGAGGGUUUCCGCCCUUCAGUGCUGCAGCUAACGCAUUAAGUAAUCCGCCUGGG